GAGCUCCUCUUUGGCUAGAGUUGAGUCUAGCUCCUCACGUGAACUUCACAGCUGGCCGGAGCAUAGUGAGAGAGCGCUUCCUUCUCCCUGUAAGAAGCAGGUGGAAUCAUGCAGUGCUCUUGGUUAGUAUGAACUUGGUUAGUGCUUUUGUCCCUCCUCAGAUAUACCUUCGUUACACUGCCACAUGCUUUCCCGAGCACAAAGAUGCCCGAGGUCUUCAAUUACGCGCUCACAGGGCUGAUCUGCAGAAUAUAGCAGUGCCAACCCUGGGCUUCCAACCACAAGAAACGCAUCUCCUGGCACUGUGGAUCUAUCUAUGUGAUACCAUGACCAGCUGAAUGUAGGCCUGUAUGUGCAGCCGUGCUCACACAGAUAUCCGCCUGCUCCCACCACAACAAAAGAAGAAACCAUUCUUAUGAUUGCGUUGGAAAGAAAUUCUUACGAUUGCUUUGGAGGCAAGACCAAGAGAUGUGUCCCACUAAUUCUACCCUGUGGGUGAUCAAAAAUCCUGCUUUAUUUUCUGAAAUUUCACUAGAGGACUCUCACUGUCUAUUCAGACUAGCCUCCACAGGCAGCCUAAAGACUUGAAAACUAAGCGUUCACGAUUGGAAAGGAAUCUCAAAACCUGUCAAAUGCUGUGCCAGAUGUGGAAUCCCACAUUGCUGCGGCAAGCCUGUUCAGACAGGAAUACUCAAAGCCUUAACUUUUUUCAGAAACAAAGCAAGUUUGAAGCCCAUGUGUUGAUGAACCCGCCUGAGGUCAGAGUUCCGCUUGUGAUGCACAAAGACUGUACCUGUUUGAGUGGCCUCUUCAGCGUAACAAACAUCUCAGCACAUGGAAAUGUAGCAUUAGCCUGCAAAUGCAGUCGCUUUCUCCAUGCCACUCCAGACAGCUUAUUGAACAGGCGAAGCGUAGAAAUCCCACAUGGCUUUGUGACAUGA
rnacentral:lncRNA from 1 species